ACUCCACCCCAGUUCCCAGUGUUAUGACAUCUGCCUUCUACUCUUUGGUAUACUGUGUUUAUUUCUAGUGAAGCAAGAUCAUCCUGUAUUGUAAUUUAUUUUUAUUAUUUAUUAUUUUUGAGACAGAGUCUUGCUCUGUUGCCAAGCUGCAGUGCAGUGGUGCCAUCUUUGCUCACUGCAACCUCCACCUUCCGGGUUCAACUGUUUCUCAUGCCUCAACCUCCGAGUAACUGGGACUACAGGUGCAUACCACCACACCCAGCUAAUUUUUGUAUUUUUAGUAGAUACAGUGUUUCACUAUAUUGACCAGCAUAUCUCAAUCUCUUGACCUUGUGAUCUGCCUGCCUCAGCUUCCCAAAGUUCUGGGAUUACAGGUGAGCCACUGUGCCCAGCCUGUGAAUUUUUUUAUGGUAGACAAGGUGUCUCACUAUGUAACCCAGGCUGGAGUGCAGUGGUGCUUUCAGAGCUCACUGCAGCCUCAACCUCCUGGGCUCAAGUGAUCUUCCUGCCUCAGUCUCCUGAGUAGCUGGGACUACAGGUGCAUGCCACCAAGCCUGGCUAAUUUUAUUUAUUUUCUGUGGAGAUGGGGUCUCCCUAUGUUGCCCAGAAUGGUCUUGAAGUUCUUUUAUUUUAUUUUUUUUAAGACAGAGUCACUCUGUUGCCCACGCUGGAUUGCAGGGGCAGGAUCUUGGCCCACUGCUACCUCCACCUCCCAGGUUCAGGAGAAUUGCCUGAACCCAGGAGGCGGAGGUUGCGGUGAGCCGAGAUCACGCCAUUGCACUCCAGCCUGGGUAACAAGAGCGAAACUCCGUCUCAAAAGAACAAAACAAAACAAAAAAGCUGGUCUUAGCCUGACCAACAUGGAGAAACCCCCUCUUCACUAAAGAUACAAAAUUAGCCGGGCGUGGUGGUGGGCGCCUGUCAUCCCAGCUACUCGGGAGGCUGAGGCAGGAGAAUUGCCUGAACCCGGGAGGCGGAGGUUGCGGUGAGCCGAGAUCGCACCAUUGUACUCCAGCCUGGGUAACAAGAGCAAAACUCCGUCUCAAAAGAACAAAACAAAACAAAAAAGCCUGACCAACAUGGAGAAACCCCCUCUUCACUAAAGAUACAAAAUUAGCCGGGCGUGGUGGUGGGCGCCUGUCAUCCCAGCUACUCGGGAGGCUGAGGCAGGAGAAUCACUUGAACCCAGGAGGCAGAGGUUGCAGUGAGCCGAGAUUGUGCCAUUGUACGCCAGCCUGGGUGAUAAGAGCAAAACUCCACCAAAAAAAAAAAAAAAAAAAAAAAAAAAAAGUUGGUCUUCUCAAGGCUCCCAGAAAAGAGGAGACGUUCAAAGGCUCACCAUCUCUCUGUUUUUUCCAGUUUCCCUGCCACCUGGGCGUGGAGAAGGGAUGUAGGGAGUGUUCGUGUGUGCACGCGUAUGUGUGUUUGUGAGCACAGGCAUGUGUCUGUAGGCGUGUGCUUCCCUGCUGGUCCCUGUCUAAUACUCUUCUUCUUGUGAGAAGACCGUAGCGGCCAUGGCAACAGCAGGGACUGACAUUGUGGAGAAACGCGGAAGGUGUGUGAAUUGUCCAUUUUACACUGCUCCUUGCAUGCCGACGCUCUCCCGGGUGAUAAUGAAACAGGAGGAGGACGGGAAUAUUGUGUUUUCUGGGCCUGUCACUUUCUGGGGCAGCUGGCUGCUAUGCAAUCUGGUG
ensembl:lncRNA